rnacentral:rRNA from 1 species
AUGAACGCUGGCGGCGUGCCUCAUACAUGCAAGUCGAGCGAACAGACGAGGAGCUUGCUCCUCUGACGUUAGCGGCGGACGGGUGAGUAACACGUGGAUAACCUUCCUAUAAGACUGGGAUAACUUCGGGAAACCGGAGCUAAUACCGGAUAAUAUAUUGAACCGCAUGGUUCAAUAGUGAAAGACGGUUUUGCUGUCACUUAUAGAUGGAUCCGCGCCGCAUUAGCUAGUUGGUAAGGUAACGGCUUACCAAGGCGACGAUGCGUAGCCGACCUGAGAGGGUGAUCGGCCACACUGGAACUGAGACACGGUCCAGACUCCUACGGGAGGCAGCAGUAGGGAAUCUUCCGCAAUGGGCGAAAGCCUGACGGAGCAACGCCGCGUGAGUGAUGAAGGUCUUCGGAUCGUAAAACUCUGUUAUUAGGGAAGAACAAAUGUGUAAGUAACUAUGCACGUCUUGACGGUACCUAAUCAGAAAGCCACGGCUAACUACGUG